GAUCAUUAAGACUGAUAUGAGUGUCAGCUACGGUUAAGGCAAGGCAUGUUAGUCAGAGGUCAGAAUGGCACCACAGCAGCAGCCCACACUUGUGCGGUUCUUCAACAAGUAUAUCAAGAGUCAUAGAACGAUGCUCGCAUAUAUAAUACAAUCAAGAGCAAAAAGAAGGGGGGGGGGGGUUAUAUAUCAUAAGUAUGAGAUCCAAUCAGGGGCCAAAAAAUAAUGGAAUGACGACAUGGUUGGUUAAUGGUACCGUACGUACAUAUCUAGCAAGCCGCCCGCGAUCCAUCUGCACAAACGCAGAUCAUGUCCCGGCUGGGCAUCGUCGUUGUUGCGCCCUUGCCAUCAUCACCUGUACCGUUGGUUCUCGCGCUUGCUCAGGCUCCCGUCCUCAAUCGCGCUGGGUCUGUCCGUCGCCGCAUCCCUUCGGGGCUUCCUGUCCUGCACAUUUCCAUUCAUCGCCGUUGACAAUGUGAGUAACUGAAUGUUCAGCAAAUGAAAGAUCAGCAAGGUUGCCGAGUUAGUAGGAAGGAACAUACGUCGCGGGGGUUUAGGUCCUCCAUCUCCAGCAUGUGGAUCACAUGCCCCAUUUUAGGCCGCUUAUGGCCAUCGGGGUCGACGCAGCGAAGGGCGACUAGAAGUGCCCGCUUCAGCGCUUUCGGGGAAGGCCUCUCAGGGAUCUUGGGGUCGACCACUUCCUCUGCUUUCCUCUCGGACACCAUGUUCUUCAGCCAUUCGAUCAAGUUCAC
rnacentral:lncRNA from 1 species